rnacentral:sRNA from 1 species
GUUUUGCGACCUGUUUGAUAAACUCGUCGUGCCAGUUGUCGAUAGAUUCAAAGGUUUUAAGAGUAUUCACGUCAUAGACGAGAACACAACAAUCUGUGUCUCGGUAGAAUCGUGAUGGUAAACUUUUAAAUCUUUCUUGUCCAGCAGUAUCCCAAAUCUGUGCGAAAGAAAA